rnacentral:rRNA from 1 species
AUUGAACGCUGGCGGCAGGCCUAACACAUGCAAGUCGAACGGUAACAGGAAGAAGCUUGCUUCUUUGCUGACGAGUGGCGGACGGGUGAGUAAUGUCUGGGAAACUGCCUGAUGGAGGGGGAUAACUACUGGAAACGGUAGCUAAUACCGCAUAAUGUCGCAAGCCCAAAGAGGGGGACCUUCGGGCCUCUUGCCAUCGGAUGUGCCCAGAUGGGAUUCGCUAGUAGGUGGGGUAACGGCUCACCUAGGCGACGAUCCCUAGCUGGUCUGAGAGGAUGACCAGCCACACUGGAACUGAGACACGGUCCAGACUCCUACGGGAGGCAGCAGUGGGGAAUAUUGCACAAUGGGCGCAAGCCUGAUGCAGCGAUGCCGCGUGUAUGAUGAAGGCCUUCGGGUUGUAAAGUACUUUCAGCGGGGAGGAAGGGAGUAAAGUUAAUACCUUUGCUCAUUGACGUUACCCGCAGAAGAAGCACCGGCUAACUCCGUG